AGAGUUUGAUCCUGGCUCAGGAUGAACGCUAGCUACAGGCUUAACACAUGCAAGUCGAGGGGAAACGAUUAGAGGUGCUUGCACCACUAAGGCGUCGACCGGCGCACGGGUGAGUAACGCGUAUCCAACCUUCCCUAUAGUAGAGGAUAGCCCGGCGAAAGUCGGAUUAAUACUCUAUGUUUUCCAAUGCAGACAUCUAAAAUGGAACAAAGGUUUACCGCUAUAGGAUGGGGAUGCGUCUGAUUAGGUAGUCGGCGGGGUAACGGCCCACCGAGCCCUCGAUCAGUAGGGGUUCUGAGAGGAAGGUCCCCCACAUUGGAACUGAGACACGGUCCAAACUCCUACGGGAGGCAGCAGUGAGGAAUAUUGGUCAAUGGGCGAGAGCCUGAACCAGCCAAGUCGCGUGAAGGAUGAAGGUUCUAUGGAUUGUAAACUUCUUUUGUCCGAGGGUAAAAAAGGCUACGUGUAGCUUCUUGCAAGUAUCGGACGAAUAAGCAUCGGCUAACUCCGUGCCAGCAGCCGCGGUAAUACGGAAGGUCCGGGCGUUAUCCGGAUUUAUUGGGUUUAAAGGGAGCGCAGGCGGGUUAUUAAGCGUGUUGUGAAAUGCGGCGGCUCAACCGUCGAAUUGCAGCGCGAACUGGUUACCUUGAGUGAGUACGACGUCAGCGGAAUUCGUGGUGUAGCGGUGAAAUGCUUAGAUAUCACGAAGAACCCCGAUUGCGAAGGCAGCUGACGGGAGCGUUACUGACGCUUAAGCUCGAAAGCGCGGGUAUCGAACAGGAUUAGAUACCCUGGUAGUCCGCGCGGUAAACGAUGGAUGCCCGCUGUUUGCGUCUAACGUAAGCGGCCAAGUGAAAACGUUAAGCAUCCCACCUGGGGAGUACGCCGGCAACGGUNAAACUCAAAGGAAUUGACGGGGGCCCGCACAAGCGGAGGAACAUGUGGUUUAAUUCGAUGAUACGCGAGGAACCUUACCCGGGCUUGAAUUGCUGAGGAAAGAUCCAGAGAUGGUGAUCUUCGGGGUCUCAGUGAAGGUGCUGCAUGGUUGUCGUCAGCUCGUGCC
rnacentral:rRNA from 1 species